GUCCUCCCAUCAACAGUUCACACAUGGUGGUUUGCUUCUUCCGGGUGCAGACGACUUCUCUCUCUAGCGUGUUAAGGUAGAGCCUGAGACUCUACCCUCCAGUCCACAGGCACCAUAGCCCACUGCUUGCUCGUAGACUCAGCCUGGGAGGGCUCCAGGUGGAUGCGUAUCAGAAAUUCUUGGGGCUGGAAUCUGUAACUUGGUGAAUGAUCCACACCAUUUGAAAUCUCUCUCUGGACUCCAAUUUCUCCUCAGUGAAGAGGAAAUUCAAGAGAGAUUGAGGCUGGUUGCAGGCCCUUGACUAAUGGCUAAUUAAGAAAUGAUGCUUCCAACGAUGAGACCUAAACAGCAGAGCCUGCUCUGCCUGCCGCUAAAGCUACCAGCUUCAUCACCUAGGACAGGCUACCUCUUGAAAACACUGCAGAACCAAUGGGCUUAGACUCCCAGAAAGUGCUUUAUUGGUUUUACAGCAAAGCCUAAACAUUGAGGAGCGUGAGAAGCAGCUCGUCAAUUAGUAACAUGUACUGCUCUUGCAGAGGAACUAAGUUCAGUUCCUAGCACCCAUGUCUCACGUCAGUGACUCACAACUUCCUAUAACUCCAGCUUCAGAGAGAUCUGAUAUCCCUGGCCUCCAUAGGCACUUGCAUUUAUGUGUGUAUGCCCAGAGACAGACACACAAAGCUCUAUAUUAUUAAAAGAAAUAAUCACCUAGCUAAG
ensembl:lncRNA